UACGAAGGGGGCUAGCGUUGUUCGGAAUCACUGGGCGUAAAGCGCACGUAGGCGGAUCUUUAAGUCAGGGGUGAGAUCCCGAGGCUCAACCUCGGAACUGCCUUUGAUACUGGGGAUCUCGAGUCCGGGAGAGGUGAGUGGAACUGCGAGUGUAGAGGUGAAAUUCGUAGAUAUUCGCAAGAACACCAGUGGCGAAGGCGGCUCACUGGCCCGGAACUGACGCUGAGGUGCGAAAGCGUGGGGAGCAAACAGG
rnacentral:rRNA from 1 species